GGGUUCCUAGCUCAAUUGGUAGAGCAACGGCCUUUUAAGCCGUGGGUUCUGGGUUCGAGUCCCAGGGGACCCACCA
rnacentral:tRNA from 1 species